GGGGGCCGUGAGAGGAUCCUUGUUCUUUUCAUAAUAAAGCUAUAAAGUUUUUAACGCUAACGUUUUCUAACGUUUUCAUUUUGCAGUAUAAGGGCAGUAUCAGUCUGGAGCAAGUCAUUAUAGUGUGUGUAAUUAUGCUUGAUGGUAGUGUACGGACAAUGUGUUCAUGUUGAAGAGCCUGGGGCCUGGGGAGUUGAAGACUGAGGAGUGCCUGGGGCCGGGGGAGCUGAAGACUGAGGAGCCUGGGGAGCUGAAGACUGAGGAGCCUGGGGCCUGGGGAGCUGAAGACUGAGGAGCCUGGCUGCAGUGGGGCACCUGGACAUGUGUCCUGCAUCCCAAAUGGAACCCCAGUCCCUAUGGAAGUGCCCCAUCGGCCCUCUUCAACAGUAGAACACUAUAUAAGGAAUAGGAUGGCGUUUGAUGUUGUUUUGCAGCGGGCCGACCCGGGUGUUGAAUACCAGGAUGUAAGGACAGACCCCUAAUCUCCCCUUGGUGUUGGAGGCAGUGUCACCCAUCAAUCCUCCUCUGAAACAAUGAGCUUUGUUCACCCAUCGAAGCCAGAGCAGCCUACUGUAUGG
ensembl:lncRNA